rnacentral:rRNA from 1 species
AACGAACGCUGGCGGCAUGCCUAACACAUGCAAGUCGAACGAUGCCUUCGGGCAUAGUGGCGCACGGGUGCGUAACGCGUGGGAAUCUGCCCUUGGGUUCGGAAUAACAGUUGGAAACGACUGCUAAUACCAGAUGAUGUCGAUAAGACCAAAGAUUUAUCGCCCGAGGAUGAGCCCGCGUCGGAUUAGCUAGUUGGUGGGGUAAAGGCCUACCAAGGCGACGAUCCGUAGCUGGUCUGAGAGGAUGAUCAGCCACACUGGGACUGAGACACGGCCCAGACUCCUACGGGAGGCAGCAGUGGGGAAUAUUGGACAAUGGGCGCAAGCUUGAUCCAGCAAUGCCGCGUGAGUGAUGAAGGCCUUAGGGUUGUAAAGCUCUUUUACCCGGGAAGAUAAUGACUGUACCGGGAGAAUAAGCCCCGGCUAACUCCGUGCCAGCCGCCGCAGUAAUAC